rnacentral:rRNA from 1 species
UACCGUGAGGGAAAGUUGAAAAUAACUUUGAAGAGAGAGUUCAAGAGUACGUGAAACCGUUCAGGGGCAAACCUAAGAAACCCAAAAGAUCGAACGGGAGAUUCAUCGUCAGCGACGCUGGCUUCGCGUCGGUGGGCGAUGUCCCGCGGGACCUCGCGGCUUGCGCGCGGACACGCCGCCGUGCGCUCGAUGUCCGGCGUUUCGUCGUCGUGCAUUUCUUUCCCUAGUAGAACGUCGCGACCCGCUGGGUGUUGGUCUACGGCCCGGGUGCGGUGGCUGACGCGUCGCCGGUAAAAUGGCACGUGUCAAACCCCCGGUCGCUCGGCCGGCUGCCCGGCGGUACACGCAAGGUAUCAGGCCGCUCUCUCUCACGGGGGAGCGCGCGCGCGCGCGACUGUGC